AAGACUAUACUUUCAGGGAUCAUUUCUAUAGUUUCUGACUUGAGAAAUGUGUUUCUAAAGUGUUUGGUCUCGCUAACCACGAUGAUGAGUUGUGAUGUUCCCUUGUGAGCAUGAAGCAGAUAGAGCAUAAGGAUUCAGUUCCUGUUCUGUUGUUGAUGAUUGUUCUCUACUUCCUAAUGGAGUAUUGAAGAAGGGAAUAUGUUUUGAGUGGU